GAGCUGGACCGCGAUCUGCACACUGCAUGACAGAGCUGCAAGGUAAACCUGCAUGGUUGUUCUAUUACUGCUACCUUUCAUACAAAGAGACACACGUAGAGAAUAUAUUAAUAUACAUUCAUCUCAAAGCAAAGCCAGCCAACAGAAACAAGCUGCUCCUCACUAGAUUACUCUUCCCCACUGACACCGUUAUGUAUGUGUGAGUCUGAUGAAGCUAACAUGGGAACUGUAACAGUAAAGAUACUGUUUACUGGGCCAUAACAAUUACUCAUACUGCAAUAAGAGCAUUAGAAGAUGGUUUUAAAAUAAAGAGAAACUCAAACAAAAACUAAUUUUGGCAGGUGUGAUAAAAGCAGCUGAGCUCCAGGUGUGCCCAAGCUUACAUCUCCAAUUUCAAUUAAACAUAACUGUGUGUUAAAGUAACCAAAAAAUCUGAUUACAACAUCCUGUUGAAUGUUUUAACAGAUACGUCAAACCAAAACGAUGACACGUACGCCACCAUCCCCGACCUGCCACAGACUGGAACCCUGCCCGGUAACAGCCGACACUCACAGCCUCAUAACUGAACCAGAAGUUCUGCUAACACUGCAUCUGCCUUCAUUUAAUCCAAACAUGUCCUUUCCUCCUACAGACUCGACAUAUUCCUUGAUUGGUUCCACUUUUCACGCUGGCAGUAAUAAAGGUUUAUUAAAGCAGAAUGACCCCACAUACGCCACCAUCACCUACCUGCCACACACCACAGACAUGAACGGUAACAGCUCUGCUGGCACAAACUCUCACAGCAGCUUACAAACUGUAUUUAUUCAUAACUCUGGUUCCCUCCUGCAGAUUCUCCAUAUUCUUUGGUUGGUGAGUCUUUCAAUGAUGGAAAUCAACAAGGUUCAAAGCAGCUGACUGACAGCACGUACGUCUUACUGCAGAAGCCCAAACCACCAAGACCAGUUUAACUUUAUCUGAUGGGCCAGUCAAAAAUAUUGGUUUGUCUCAAUGUUUUACUGUAAAAAUGUAUGUAAUUGUAUUUUUAUAUGUAUAUAAUAUGAAGUUCAUGUAUCCUUCAAUUUUGUACCCCCAUAUAAAAUGCGAUUAUUAAUGAAACUAUUAAUGCAACAUAAGAGAGACGUGUUGUUGAAUCCUGUCGUAAAUCUGUUGGAGCAAAGAUGACUCCAUACAUUCAGUUUCCAUGUAAAAAUCAAUAAAUCAAUAAAAUGAUGUGGGAUAAAUAUAUUUAUAUAUCCCAGUACCCUGAUGUGUGUGUGGGUCCUUCUACAGUUGUAAAUUUGAAUUGUGUGUUUACUUUGUUUUUGUUUGUUAGAUAUUUUAUUCUUUUUUAAACUUUUUUUUUUUUAAAGUUAAAAAAUUUGACAUGUGUGACCACUGUCGGCUCUGGACUCUAGAUCAGAAUUCAGACUUUCAUUUUGUUUUGCCAUUUAGGUUUUCCUAAAUGGAAACUAGGAAUUAUUCCUAAUGGUCUAUUUCAGGAACCAGUGGCUAAAAAAGGCCAAUAAACCGUCUGAAUCCAGCCUCAGGUGUUCUUAACUAAAUCUAACCACGGCCAAUAUAAACAAAAGGCCGUUAUUAAACCAGGACCAGGUCGGGCUGUCCUCAGCUCAUUCUGUUACUCAACCUCGAUGUGCCUGCUUCCUGUCAUUUCACAACAUGUAUCCCUCUGACUGCAUGUCCUCUGUUGGGUUUAUCUAGGCACAAACUCCGCUGGAACACAAGCCCAAACUGCACGACAAAACAAGACAAACAGAGCUCUUUGUCUUUGUGGCUCGCAAGGGAGUCAGCCCAGGUCUUCACCUGUGCUUAGCCAACUUCGACUGAUUCCUUCGCUACAGCCCUUUUUAUUGUCAGCAAGCAAUCAUUCAUGAAUAUGCAAUUACAAAUACACGUGACAGUCUUAAGCAGGCAUAUCUGAACAACAUCAGUGUCUGUGUGUGUGUGUGUUUCCAGCUAUACCAUACAUAGAUAUGCGACCUUUCAAUGAAGUUAAACUGUGUGUAUGAGGCAUGCAG
rnacentral:lncRNA from 1 species